rnacentral:rRNA from 1 species
UGGGGAAUAUUGCACAAUGGGCGCAAGCCUGAUGCAGCCAUGCCGCGUGUAUGAAGAAGGCCUUCGGGUUGUAAAGUACUUUCAGCGGGGAGGAAGGGAGUAAAGUUAAUACCUUUGCUCAUUGACGUUACCCGCAGAAGAAGCACCGGCUAACUCCGUGCCAGCAGCCGCGGUAAUACGGAGGGUGCAAGCGUUAAUCGGAAUUACUGGGCGUAAAGCGCACGCAGGCGGUUGAUUGAGUCAGAUGUGAAAUCCUCGGGCUCAACCUGGGAACUGCAUCUGAUACUGGCAAGCUUGAGUCUCGUAGAGGGGGGUAGAAUUCCAGGUGUAGCGGUGAAAUGCGUAGAGAUCUGGAGGAAUACCGGUGGCGAAGGCGGCCCCCUGGACGAAGACUGACGCUCAGGUGCGAAAGCGUGGGGAGCAAACAGG